UCUGAAGGAGUAUUUUCAAUUUUUCAUUUGGUGAUGUUUUUAUUCACUUUGCAUAGAUCUUGUGUUGCGAUUGCUGGAGCCGAUUACUGUGUUAUCGCCGCAGACACCAGAAUGUCCACCGGUUACAACAUCCUCACUCGGGAUUACUCCAAAAUCUCCCAAUUAGCGGAGAAGUGUGUGAUGGCUUCUUCUGGUUUUCAAGCUGAUGUGAAAGCCUUGCAGAAGGUUUUGUCUGCUAGGCAUUUGAUUUAUCAGCAUCAACAUAACAAGCAAAUGAGCUGCCCUGCAAUGGCUCAGCUUCUUUCAAACACACUUUAUUACAAACGCUUCUUUCCCUAUUAUGCAUUCAAUGUUUUGGGUGGCCUGGACAAUGAAGGAAAGGGAUGUGUUUUCACAUAUGAUGCUGUUGGUUCCUAUGAGAGGGUUGGAUAUAGUUCUCAGGGUUCUGGAUCCACACUUAUCAUGCCAUUUCUGGAUAACCAGCUGAAGUCUCCUAGCCCACUACUGUUACCUGUCAAGGAUGCCGUUACUCCACUGUCUGAAUCAGAAGCAGUUGAUCUGGUUAAAACCGUUUUUGCAUCUGCUACUGAGAGGGAUAUAUACACAGGGGACAAGGUUGAAAUCGUCAUCCUAAAUGCCAGUGGUAUUCGUCGUGAGUACAUGGACUUAAGGAAAGACUAGUGCUCUCUACAAAACGUUUGAAAUGCUUCUGGAAUUUUAAAUGACAGUGGGGUUUUCCCAUGAGAUUAUCAGCUUCAGUAAACAAGACCGCAGAAUAUACAUUUCCGCUUAUUUUCUCAAAACUUGGUCUUUUGAAAUUCAGUUUUGCCCCUGAAGUCAUGGAUUAUUGAAAGCUCUUGCAAGUUUGAGUGAAGCUCAUUAUGCAUGAUGCUUAAGGGAAUUUUUACAGGUUUAUGCUCCAGAAGUUUCAGAAUAGUUUUCCUCUAGUGUAAUAUUUCAGCGAAUAUUGGGUGUGUGUACUCAACAUACUUGGAUAUGAUAUGAUACCGUGAAACACGCCAUGUAUAUUCGGAGUAAAGAUGACGUGUUUGUUGUAUGAGAUGUACCAAACACCCCCUACUAACGAUUAUUCAUUUGACUUUCUUAAUGAGGCAUGUUCAGAUUACAAAA